rnacentral:rRNA from 1 species
GGGGGCAACUGAUGGAAGCACGCCGCGUGAGUGAAGAAGGGCUUCGGCAUCGUAAAGCUCUGUUGUUAGAGAAGAACGAGAGAGGUAGUAACUGGUCUUGAUUUGACGGUAUCUACUUAGAAAGUCACGGCUAACUACGUGCCAGCAGCCGCGGUAAUACGUAGGUGGCAAGCGUUGUCCGGAUUUAUUGGGCGUAAAGCGAGUGCAGGCGGUUCAUUAAGUCUGAUGUGAAAGCCUUCGGCUCAACCGAAGAACUGCAUCGGAAACUGUUGAACUUGAGUGCAGAAGAGGAGAGUGGAACUCCAUGUGUAGCGGUGAGAA